GUCUAGGUGCUUGUUGGUAACGCAGAGAAGGCAAAGGUGAGGAAAAUGAAGACUAAAGGGAGCUCAAUGGGAACGAUUCGGGGGGUCUCCCCGGCUCCCAGCACCCCCAAGAAGAUGGCGGCCGAUAAAUCUCGCGAGACUUAAAGUCUCGCGGUGACUCCUGGAGCCUGCUGGGAAGAGACACAAAGACUUUAUUACGAGGACAGAAAGACUGCUAACUUCAGAAUCUGCCAGAACUGCAGCUCAUCCUCUGUGCGAGCGUCGCGGACUUUCACCCCGAGCGAACCUGCGGAAAUGGAGAGCUUCUUGCGGGCAGUUUAUGUUCUUCGUUGUGCCGCCUCCAAUUUACCUUUGCUGCCCCAAAAGUGCCAAACCCAGUCUGUGUGUGCUGUGAUGUGGACAAGAUUGGUAAACACAGGCUAGGCCAGUCUGACCCAUUUAUACCUCUGCAGAACUAAUGUGCAGUCCAAAAUUACUCGAUUUGUUAGCAAAGCUAUAAUGACCUAGGUGUGCCGCAAGACAAAAGUGAAGUAACUGACAGCUCUCAAUUUACAACCCCCUUUAAACUUGUUACGUUAAAACCCCCUUUAAAUUUUCUUAGUUUAGAGCAGAUUUAGCUCUAUAUCAGAGAACUCACCUUGUAUCAAAAGAGAUAGCUGCCAUAUCAGCAUCCCAAAUUAACCCCUUCUCCUUGGUGGUUCAGGAAGUUUGAUUCCGGCUUGAGUUCUAUUUACUAUAUACUGUCGUUAAGAGACUGUGGAAUUUUGCAAAGGAUCUAAAGUAGUGGAAUGAAAAUAAUUCCCGAUCUAAAGACAUAGUAAGAAGACCAAUAAUAGCUCUUUAGAGGAGACAGUGAUGAACAAAAUUGUCCUUAUGGACUGAGUUUAUAAUUUGUUAGAGUGACGUAUCCUUAAGCAUUAAGUGGAAAGAUUAUCAAAUACAAAGCUAGACAUUUGUUCUAUAAUGUAGCAUCUAGAAUAGCAUGCAAAUUAGAAUCCAGCUAUUUAAUUACCAGAGUGUUGAUUAAAGUGAUUUAGCUAAGUGAAAUAAGCCUGAUACAAAAGGACAAAUAUUUAUGAUUCCACUUACAUGAGGUUUCUAGAGUAGCUAUAGAGACAGAAAGAAUGUUGAUUGCCAGGAGUGAGGGUGGUGCAUGGAGGCAGGGAAAAGGAAAAUGAGUUCUUUUUCAGUGAGUAUAAACUCAAUGAAAAGUUUGCAAUGAUAAAAAUUGUUCUGCAGAUGGAUGGUGUUGAUGGUUGUGCAAAAAUUUGAAUAUACUUAAUGCCGUUGAGUUGUACUGUCAAAGUGAUUGAAGUGGUAAGGUUUAUGUUACAUAUAGUACAAUAAAAUUUAUAAGUUUAACAUUGCUGAGGGAAUGUUUAAAUCAUAUUUUGUUGUAUAGCCUUGCCACAGGCCAACUGCACUAAUACUUUCAGCCUCAUCACCAACUAUUCUAUAACUCUGAUACUCUACUGCAGCCUUUCAAAGCUUCUGUCAGGAACUACAGACUGCAAGUAAGUUGAUUUGUUCAGGUUAUGUCCCACAGAGAGGACUUCCACUUCUUUCUCUGACUGCUCAAACCUUACCCAUCCUUCUGCUAUUGUCAUGUUUAAAGUCUUCUCUUAAACACCCUAAACAGUAGCAACAAAUUUUAAUAUCCAUGCUUUUUAGGCUACCCCAUAUCAGUUCAUCUUCAAUUGUCAUCAGCAUUGCCUUUAAUAGUAAUUUUAAUCAUGUUACUUCUUAAAAUCUUCAUCAGCUUCCACAUUGUCUUCCGUAUAUAACAGAUUCCUUAACAUAUGAUGCCUUACUUUCAUACAUCAAACUGUUUUCUAUUUGCCUAGAAACUGCUUUCAGUAGCUUUCAGUCUUUGCUUCAGCCAACCUGAACGAUUUUGAGUUCCAUGAAAGAAGUGUGUUCUUUAAACUGAGCCAUCGCAAAAUAUGUUUUCCUCCUUUUUAUUUGAUGGAUUCAUGCUUAUCAAUCAAAAUUUAGUAUUUAGUGCAGAUAACAUCACCUUUAGAAAUCUAUCUCUGAUCUUAUUGCUCUGAAGAAGCUCUUUGAGUUUUUCUCACAUCAGUCUGACCUUGCUUCUAUUAUAGCACACAUUGCUUUAUUUUGCAGACAGUCCUGCUAUGUAGUCCAGGCUGCCCUUGAACUCACUUUGUAGCCCAGGCUGGCUUCAAAUUCGUGGCGAUCCUCCUGCCUCACCCUUCCAAAUGCUGGAAUAACAGGUGUGCACUACCACACCAGUCUCCUGAUUUUGUUUCUUCAUAAACUAUUGGUUUGAAUCCCCUGAUUCAAGAAUAGCCCCCGAUACAUAUAGUCAGUUCUCCUUAUUCAUUUAUUUUUCUAUUUAAAGGCACCUUAUUAAAGAUAUAUUGUUGGUUCAUUAAUAUUGAACUCAUGGCCAAUGGCACUAUAAAUCAUCCCUAGCAGAGACAGAGAAAAUAUUUCAGAUAGGUAAGACACCUGAUAUGUUAUAACUUCUAAUAGACCGCUGUCUCAUUAUGAUUUUUUCUUACCAUGAAAAAGCAAUCUUUUAGCUGCCCUAAUCCCAGUAGUAUUUUCUGUAUAUGCCUCUCCUUAAGUUCUUUGAGUCUUCCUUCCUAAUCUAUGGACACAUUAGUCUCAGUAAUGCUUUAAAGUAUGUUUAAAAACUCAAUCUGCUUUUCAAGAUUACAAAAAUAUUGUGUACAUGCUUCAGUUUCUUUUUACAGUUCUGUACUCUCUCCAUAGAAUUACGUUUGGAUCUUUAUUCUCCCAGAACAUACUCCUAUAUGUGCUGUAAAGGUGAUAUCUAGCUUAUUUUUUUCUCUAAAUGGGAAACCAGUUUUUCUCUAUAAUGACACUCAAGGGAUUAUCCCUUGCCUGUUGAUUUGUGGUGCCAUUUAUUAUACAUUGAUACUUCCACAUUUCUGGUUCUGAUUUCUUUCAAGUGACCUACUAAUCUAUGGCUGUAUCAGUACCACAUUGUUUUUAUUUACCAUUUUAUCAUAGAAUAUCUUAGUGCAUAAUGGGUGAAAUCCAUCCUCUUUGCUCUUUUUUUUCCUUAAAUUUAACCUGGCUAAAUGGGAAUCUGUUGUGUUCCAAAUAUUUAGGACAAGAUUGUCAAAAAAUCGUUCACUCUGGGAAUGUGAAAUAAUAAUAUCACAAUUUCAAGCCUAGUCUGGUCAACUUAGAAACUUGCUAACACCUAAUAUUGUGGCUCCUGUCUAGAUGUCCUGCCCAAAGCCUCAUGCAGUCAUGGGUGGGCUUUUUGGAGAUGGCUGGAUCUAGGGGAUGUGAUGCUGGAAUCAAGGAUGUGAUGCUAGGAUUGAUUCACUGUGAUGCUAAAAUUAAGGGUGAGUAUCCUGUAUAAAAUAUCAGGAACUGAAAGAGGUCUAGUGGGCUCACUCGUCAAUUGCUUGCUGCCUUCUGCCUCCCCUACUUUGCCAUGGACUGUGUAACCUCUGUGAUGCCCUUGUGCCAUACCACCCUGACUUGGUGCAUCUAACUAUGAACUGAAACCUCUAAAAACUGUGAGCCAAAAUAAGCCUUUCCUCCUUUAACUUUGGGUGUUGGGUAUUUUGUCUCAGCAAUGAGAAAAGUAACUAAGACACUGUUAUUGUUUGGGUGUGGAUGUCCCCCCAAAGCCUCAUGUGGUCAUAGGCCUGAUACAGAGUGUGUGAAGCUAGAAUUGAUUCAUGGUGCAAUGCUAGGCUCAAGGGCACUAGGAUUAAGGGUGUGAGUGCUACCCACCCUAAAUAGUCUGAAUAAGAUAUGGAUAACAGCUGCUGUUAACUCUCUUGUAACCUUUACUCCCUUGUGUUUACCAUGUUGUUCCUGCUCUGCCAUGCCUGUUUGUCAUCCCUGCCUUGGAGUUGGCCUAUUAUGGACUGAAAUUUCUACAAACGGUCCUACUCUCCAGUAAACCUUUUUGCACUUCUAACUCCAUCUCAACUUUUACUCAUCAGAGAGCCCAACCUAAAACACAACCCAUCUGGCGUAUUCUGUUUUUAUAAAUUAAAACAAAUAGUUAAAUAAAAUGUAACCAUCCCUUCAGCCCCAGUACUUCUUUGAAAUCAUUCAUGGCCACCUCAAAAUAAAUAUGAUCUCUCCCAAGAUAAUCAUUCUAAGUUAGCCUUUUACUUUCUAAGACUAUCAUUGAUUUAGCACUUGACAUUUAUAUAUAUGUACUUUAUACAUAUGUACUUUAUUUUCCGUCUAAUAUUCUAAACUUAAUGCUAUUUCACCUCCUUGGAUACUUUAUUUCAUUGGUUAAUUUCUUUACUUACUAUUUUCAAAUCUUUCUGCUGAAUCUUUCAAAAUCAUUUGUCCAACAAAUGUUUACAGGAUGUGCACUCUGUUUCAGAUAUAGUACAUCUUGUUGAGAAGAUAGUAGUAGACAAAAUGACAUUAUUGGCCAGAUGGAGUGCAUAGCCUAGUGGAGACAGAUGACAUUUUGCAAAUCAUGAAAACUAUAUAUAACUAUAAAUUAUGAUAGAUAUUAUGGAAGACAAUAGAGGGAAAUAUGAACCAUUAUAGCUAUUUAAACUGGAAAGGCUCAUACACAGUUUCUCUAUGGGUUUGAUAUUUAAAUGGUUAAAAAAAUUGAAAAAUGAAUAGAAAUUAGCCAUGUGAAGCAGAGACAAGAGCAUUUCAGGCACACAUAAUAACUUGUGGGAUGUUUCUGAGGUCAAGAAGAGCCUAGGAUCUUAAAGAAGAUCAGAGAGAUGGGACAGAGAGUAUCAAACUUGGAGUUAGGGCAGCAUGGCUAUAGGUAGUUAGAGGUAAAAGAAGGUCAUGUUAGGAGUUUGGACUGGAUUUUAUUUAAAAUAUGAUAGGAAGCCAUUGAGGGGUUUUUUACUGUGGCAGGAUGAAUUAAAAACAUGAACACACACACACCUACUUCUAAAAGCUUAAUUAAAUUUCAGAAUUUUGAAUAAAAAUAAAGGAAGCAAAUCAUUCUGUAACAUAAUAAUACCUUUUUGUUAUUUCCUUAAAAGUAAUGUCAAGGGGGUCCGGGGAUUUAGCUCAGUGAUUUCACCACCUGCUGUGCAAGCACAAGGACUGGAGUUCAAUCCCUGGUACUAAAAAAAAAAGUAAUGUCAAGGCCAAGUUAAGAAAGGGAAUAUAUUUUCUAAUCAGAGAUUGCUUACUAGCAAAGAAAAAUAAUGCUUGCUGUGGAGAGGUAUGUCAUAGUAAUUCAAGAGGAAAUAUUUAGCAAUUGCUGAUGAUAUAAACUGUUAUCAGAAGACAUACUGUAAUUUGCCUGUCAUAGAACCAGAAUAUUUCUGGUAUAAAAGGGCUUGAGAGACAAUAACUCCUCAGUGAGCACUCUUUUUAUAUCCUUAAUUAAUUAUAGUGAUUUCAUCUCCAGUUCGAAGGUGUUGUGGAGCUGCUAUUUAUGAAUAUGGUUAUGGUGGCUAGUAAUCAUAACACAAAAAAGAUGUAAAUGCAUAUAUACAUAAAGUGUUUAUUCACACAUGCACACAUACAGCCACAUACUAAGUCUUGUACAAGCUGCCACAAAUGAUGGUGGUUAAAGUAUAAAUGUCAGUAUCUGGAAGAGAAAAAUAUAAUAUUAAAAACCAUCUAUCAGCCGAGGAUUUAGCUCAGUGGUUUUGGCGCCUGCCUCAGAAGCACAAGGUCCUGAGUUCGAUCCCCUGUACAAAAAAAACCAUCUAUCAGUGAAAUGAUGUGAUAUCUAUGGUAUAAAUAAUUUGAAACAGGAUAUGAGGAAAGAGUAGAAUAUCAGUGAAAUAAAACUGGUUGUGAGUCCAUUAUUAUUGAAACUGAAUGGUAGGGGAAAAUUAUAUUUCUUUCAGCUUUGUAUAUGUAUAAAAUUUUCCAUAAUAAAAAUGAAUUUUAAUAUUAAGGCAGAGAAACUCAGAAAACAAAACAAAAAAAAUCUCUGGGAAAUCCUUAGAGACUGGUUAGAAUUUGUCUAUCUUAUUUACAACUAUAUCUCUAGUGCCUAAAGAAGUUUAUAGUAUAUACUAAGUUUUCCAUAUAUGUUGAAUGAAUGAACACUAGAGAAUAAAACUCAGUUUUGGGAUAAGAUUCUGACAGCCUAGAAUGAGGGUCAAGAAUCCUGGGGUUCAUUCAUAUACUAGAUACAGCACUCCUUAGCCAUUGUAUGGAUAAAUACCUCAAGAAAGCUAUCCCUAAGAGAAAGCAGAUUCAAAAACUUCCACCUUGGGAUUCUAUAACAAGUAGCUGUUUACAUGCUUAUAUAUAUCUAAUCCCUGGAGAUCAGCUUGUAGGGUCUCUCUGGUAUUAUUUUAUUUUUCUUUUUCAACAGGUAUUUUUUGUAAAAGUGCCUGCAUCCUUAAAGCCAAAAAUCAGAAGAAAAAAGUAAACUUGGCAUGUACCCUAUCCUUCCCUUCUCUUGUUCUUUAAUUAGACUGGAGGAACACAUAAAUAUUCUUUUGAGAUGAUUCACUUGUACAUGAUAUUCUUGAUUCCUUAGGACAAAACUGUCUGUUACAAAGGUAAUGAUGUAAAACCUGAAUUAGGGCUUUUGAAAUUCAAGUCUAUUCUUUUGGGAACCAGAACCUGAAAAAAAGAAAAUAACCAAUAACACUGGAAUAGCAGACAUCAGGCACAAAUAAAUGCUUUCUUAAGACACUAAUGUUUUAAAGUUACACUGUCCAGUACCACAGCCCACCAGCAAUGUGUGACCAUUAAGCACUUGUUAUGUAGCUAGUUGGAAUUACAUGUAUUAAGAUCAAAAUAUGUAUGUUUGCCUCAGCACAAUUGAUAGCAGCUAGACCUUGGAAACAGCAUGUAUGUCCAUCAGUAGAUGAAUGGAUAAGGAAAAUGUUGUAUUUAUUUAUUCUUAAUUAUUUUGGUCUCUUUGAUAUACAUAAUGAUCACAUUCAUUAUAAGGAAUUUGUAUGUACAUAAUAUAUCUUGAUUC